rnacentral:tRNA from 1 species
GCGGCACUGAGGAUCGCGUUCCGUUCCGGUGACGGUCGCGAUGGCGAACAACGGCUGGUCGCCGGCGCGUGCGGCGCACGCCUGCUGCC